CCUGGCGGCUAUAGCGCGGUGGCACCACCUGAGCCCAUUCCGAACUCAGCAGUGAAACACCGUUGCGCCUAUGGUAGUGUGGGGUCUCCCCAUG
rnacentral:rRNA from 2 species